rnacentral:rRNA from 1 species
GAUGAACGCUGGCGGCGUGCCUAAUACAUGCAAGUCGAGCGAACGGACGAGAAGCUUGCUCCUCUGAUGUUAGCGGCGGACGGGUGAGUAACACGUGGAUAACCUACCUAUAAGACUGGGAUAACUUCGGGAAACCGGAGCUAAUACCGGAUGAUAUUUUGAACCGCAUGGUUCAAAAGUGAAAGACGGUCUUGCUGUCACUUAUAGAUGGAUCCGCGCUGCAUUAGCUAGUUGGUAAGGCAACGGCUUACCAAGGCAACGAUGCAUAGCCGACCUGAGAGGGUGAUCGGCCACACUGGAACUGAGACACGGUCCAGACUCCUACGGGAGGCAGCAGUAGGGAAUCUUCCGCGAUGGGCGAAAGCCUGACGGAGCAACGCCGCGUGAGUGAUGAAGGUCUUCGGAUCGUAAAGCUCUGUUAUUAGGGAAGAACAUAUGUGUAAGUAACUGUGCACAUCUUGACGGUACCUAAUCAGAAAGCCACGGCUAACUACGUG